rnacentral:rRNA from 1 species
GUGAACGCUGGCGGUAGGCCUAACACAUGCAAGUCGAACGGCAGCACAGUAAGAGCUUGCUCUUACGGGUGGCGAGUGGCGGACGGGUGAGGAAUACAUCGGAAUCUACUUUUUCGUGGGGGAUAACGUAGGGAAACUUACGCUAAUACCGCAUACGACCUACGGGUGAAAGCAGGGGAUCUUCGGACCUUGCGCGAUUGAAUGAGCCGAUGUCGGAUUAGCUAGUUGGCGGGGUAAAGGCCCACCAAGGCGACGAUCCGUAGCUGGUCUGAGAGGAUGAUCAGCCACACUGGAACUGAGACACGGUCCAGACUCCUACGGGGGGCAGAAGUGGGGAAUAUUGGACAAUGGGCGCAAGCCUGAUCCAGCCAUACCGCGUGGGUGAAGAAGGCCUUCGGGUUGUAAAGCCCUUUUGUUGGGAAAGAAAAGCAGCAGGUUAAUACCCCGCUGUUCUGACGGUACCCAAAGAAUAAGCACCGGCUAACUUCGUG